UACGGAGGGGGCUAGCGUUGUUCGGAAUUACUGGGCGUAAAGCGCACGUAGGCGGCUAUUCAAGUCGGGGGUGAAAGCCCGGGGCUCAACCCCGGAAUUGCCCUCGAAACUAGAUAGCUAGAAUCUUGGAGAGGCGAGUGGAAUUCCGAGUGUAGAGGUGAAAUUCGUAGAUAUUCGGAAGAACACCAGUGGCGAAGGCGACUCGCUGGACAAGUAUUGACGCUGAGGUGCGAAAUCGUGGGGAGCGAACAGG
rnacentral:rRNA from 1 species